rnacentral:rRNA from 1 species
CACGUAGGGGGCGAGCGUUGUCCGGAUUUAUUGGGCGUAAAGAGCUCGUAGGCGGUUUCGUAAGUCGGAUGUGAAAACUCCAGGCUCAACUUGGAGACGCCAUUCGAUACUGCGAUGACUUGAGUCCGGUAGGGGGAGUGUGGAAUUCCUGGUGUAGCGGUGAAAUGCGUAGAUAUCGUAAGGAAGACCAGUGGCGAAGGCGAGUCUCUGGACAGUUACUGACGCUGAGGCACGAAGGCCAGGGGGAGCAAACGGG